rnacentral:lncRNA from 1 species
GAAUUUUUGAACCGAAGAAAAAUGACAGAGUUUGGCAACCUGGCACUAAUUGAUCAGGAUGCUGGGCAGGAGGAUGGAGUCGCGAUACCACUGCCAGGCGUCAGGAAAGGUGACAUGAGUUCUCGGCACUUCAAACCUGAGAUCAGGGUGACCUCACUCCGCUUCUCUCCCACUGUGAUCCGUGCAGCACUGAGUAGGUGCAGCAGAGACCACAGGGCCUGCGGAGCUGAAGACGCCUGAGCUAGACAGAAGACUUGGCUGGCUCCCGGCGUCAAGAGAGGAGGACGCAUGCGUGGCGCUGCUGGGCGGCCACCACCACGGAGGGACUCCUCAUCUACUCCCUGGACACCCGCGUGCUCUUUGACCCGUUUGAGCUGGACACCAGCGUCACCCCCGGGAGGGUGCGCGAGGCACUGCGCCAGCAGGACUUCACCAGGGCCAUCCUCAUGGCCCUCCGGCUCAACGAGAGCAAACUGGUGCAGGAGGCCCUGGAGGCGGUGCCCAGGGGCGAGAUUGAAGUGGUCACCUCCUCCCUUCCUGAACUGUAUGUGGAGAAAGUGCUGGAGUUUUUAGCUUCCUCCUUUGAAGUGUCUCGCCACCUGGAAUUCUACCUCCUCUGGACUCACAAACUGCUCAUGUUGCACGGACAGAAGCUGAAGUCCAGAGCCGGGACGCUGCUGCCUGUCAUUCAGUUCCUCCAGAAGAGCAUCCA